ACUCCUACGGGAGGCAGCAGUGGGGAAUAUUGCACAAUGGGCGCAAGCCUGAUGCAGCCAUGCCGCGUGUAUGAAGAAGGCCUUCGGGUUGUAAAGUACUUUCAGCAGUGAGGAAGGUGGGUAUGUUAACUAGCAUACUCAUUUGACGUUAGCUUGCAGAAGAAGCACCGGCUAACUCCGUGCCAGCAGCCGCGGUAAUACGGAGGGUGCGAGCGUUAAUCGGAAUUACUGGGCGUAAAGCGCAUGCAGGUGGUUUGUUAAGUCAGAUGUGAAAGCCCGGGGGCUCAACCUCGGAAUUGCAUUUGAAACUGGCAAACUAGAGUACUGUAGAGGGGGGUAGAAUUUCAGGUGUAGCGGUGAAAUGCGUAGAGAUCUGAAGGAAUACCGGUGGCGAAGGCGGCCCCCUGGACAGAUACCUGACACUCAGAUGCGAAAGCGUGGGGAGCAAACAGGGAUUAGAUACCCUGGUAGGCAUAGUAAGUCGUAGGGAGACAGGCACACGGA
rnacentral:rRNA from 1 species